AACGAACGCUGGCGGCAUGCCUAACACAUGCAAGUCGAACGAGACCUUCGGGUCUAGUGGCGCACGGGUGCGUAACGCGUGGGAACCUGCCCUUAGGUUCGGAAUAACUCCCCGAAAGGGGUGCUAAUACCGGAUAAUGUCUUCGGACCAAAGAUUUAUCGCCUGUGGAUGGGCCCGCGUUGGAUUAGCUAGUUGGUAGGGUAAAAGCCUACCAAGGCGACGAUCCAUAGCUGGUCUGAGAGGAUGAUCAGCCACACUGGGACUGAGACACGGCCCAGACUCCUACGGGAGGCAGCAGUGGGGAAUAUUGGACAAUGGGCGAAAGCCUGAUCCAGCAAUGCCGCGUGAGUGAUGAAGGCCUUAGGGUUGUAAAGCUCUUUUACCCGGGAUGAUAAUGACAGUACCGGGAGAAUAAGCGCCGGCUAACUCCGU
rnacentral:rRNA from 1 species